rnacentral:rRNA from 1 species
AACCWCGUAAUWCGGCAUGGACGAAGUCUGACGGAGCACGCCGCGUGAGUGAUGAAGGCUUUCGGGUCGUAAAACUCUGUUGUUAGGGAAGAACAAGUACAAGAGUAACUGCUYGUACCUUGACGGUACCUAACCAGAAAGCCACGGCUAACUACGUGCCAGCAGCCGCGGUAAUACGUAGGUGGCAAGCGUUAUCCGGAAUUAUUGGGCGUAAAGCGCGCGCAGGCGGUUUCUUAAGUCUGAUGUGAAAGCCCACGGCUCAACCGUGGAGGGUCAUUGGAAACUGGGGAACUUGAGUGCAGAAGAGAAAAGCGGAAUUCCACGUGUAGCGGUGAAAUGCGUAGAGAUGUGGAGGAACACCAGUGGCGAAGGCGGCUUUUUGGUCUGUAACUGACGCUGAGGCGCGAAAGCGUGGGGAGCAAACAGGAUUAGAUACCCYWGUAGUYSA